rnacentral:rRNA from 1 species
UACAGGGGGGGCAAGCGUUGUCCGGAAUCAUUGGGCGUAAAGAGCGUGUAGGCGGCCUUUUAAGUCCUGCGUGAAAUCCUGCGGCUCAACCGCAGACGGUCGUGGGAAACUGGAAGGCUAGAGUGCGGGAGAGGAGAGUGGAAUUCCCGGUGUAGCGGUGAAAUGCGCAGAUAUCGGGAAGAACACCCGUGGCGAAGGCGGCUCUCUGGAACGCAACUGACGCUGAGACGCGAAAGCGUGGGGAGCAAACAGG